rnacentral:piRNA from 1 species
UAGAACUAUGCAGAGUAUUCCAAAGGGUCCCC